GUUGUGCUGUGGAAAAGAUUUGUUCCCAUUCUGUAGGCUCUCUAUUCACAUCAUUGAUUGUUUCUUUUGCUGAGAAGAACCUUUUUAGUUUGAAUCCAUCCCAUUUAUUUAUUCUUGGUUUUAAUUCUUGUGCUACAGGAAUUUUAUUAAGGAAAUUGGGGCCUAAUCCGACAUGAUGGAGAUUUGGGCCUACUAUUUCUUCCAUUAGGUGCAAGGUCUCUGGUUUAAUUUCUAGGUCCUUGAUCUACUUUGAGUUGAGUUUUGUGCAUGGUGGGAGAUACAGGUUUAAAUUCAUUUUGUUACAUGUGGAUUUCCAGUUUUCCCAGCACCAUUUGUUGAAGAGGCUAUCUUUUCUCUAAUGUACGUUUUUGGUGCCUUUGUCUAAUAUAAGAUAAGUGAAGUUAUGUGGGUUAGACUCUUGUGUCCUCUAUUCUGUACCAUUGGUCUACAGGUCUAUUUUGGUGCCAAUACUAUGCCAUUUUUGUUACUAUUGUUCUGUAGUAUAGUUUAAGGUCUGGUAUUGUGAUGUCACCUACUUCACUCUUCUUGCUAAGGAUUGCUUUGGCUAUUCUGGAUCUCUUAUUUUUCCAGAUGAAUUUCAUAAUUGCUUUUUCUGUUUCUAUAAGGAAUGCCAUUGGGAUUUUGAUUGGGAUUGCAUUGAAUCUAUAGUGCUUUUGUACGGUCAUUUUGACAAUAUUAAUUCUGCCUAACCAAGAACAAGGUAGAUCUUUCCAUCUUCUAAGAUCUUCUUUAAUUUCUUUCUUUAGCGUGUUGUAGUUUUCAUUGUAGAGGUCUUUCACCUCUUUUGUUAAAUUUAUUCCAAGUAUUUUAUUUUUUGAGGCUAUUGUAAAUGGGGUGGUUUUCCUAGUUUCACUUUCAGCAGAUUUGUCACUGAUGUACAGAAAUGCCUUUGAUUUAUGGGUGUUGAUUUUAUAUCCAUCUACUUUGCUGAAUUCAUUUCUUAGUCCUAGGAGAUUUCUGGUGGAAUGUUUUGGGUCUUUUAGAUAUAGAAUCAUAUUGUCUGCAAAUAGUGAUAAUUUGAGUUCU
rnacentral:lncRNA from 1 species